UAGUGGCGAACGGGUGAGUAACACGUGGGCAAUCUGCCCUUCACUCUGGGACAAGCCCUGGAAACGGGGUCUAAUACCGGAUAAUACCUGCCUGGGCAUCUGGGUGGGUUGAAAGCUCCGGCGGUGAAGGAUGAGCCCGCGGCCUAUCAGCUUGUUGGUGAGGUAGUGGCUCACCAAGGCGACGACGGGUAGCCGGCCUGAGAGGGCGACCGGCCACACUGGGACUGAGACACGGCCCAGACUCCUACGGGAGGCAGCAGUGGGGAAUAUUGCACAAUGGGCGAAAGCCUGAUGCAGCGACGCCGCGUGAGGGAUGACGGCCUUCGGGUUGUAAACCUCUUUCAGCAGGGAAGAAGCGAGAGUGACGGUACCUGCAGAAGAAGCGCCGGCUAACUACGUGCCAGCAGCCGCGGUAAUACGUAGGGCGCAAGCGUUGUCCGGAAUUAUUGGGCGUAAAGAGCUCGUAGGCGGCUUGUCACGUCGGGUGUGAAAGCCCGGGGCUUAACCCCGGGUCUGCAUUCGAUACGGGCUAGCUAGAGUGUGGUAGGGGAGAUCGGAAUUNCU
rnacentral:rRNA from 2 species